UGUAUCAAAAAUGUGUACUUCCUCCACGGC
rnacentral:sRNA from 1 species